AGGACCCUCUGCAGAAGCAGGGAGCUCUGAGUCUGCACCUGGCAGGGAACUCUCAGCUGUGGCAUCUGUGAGGAAGGAAGGAGGGAGCUCUCUGUCCCGGGGACAAUGGCCAGAUUCUGCUUCCUGCUGUUCGUCUCUGUGGCCACCAGAGGGUGGAGUGCAGCAGUGGUCCAGGCUCCUGAGAUGUUCCAGGUGGGCAAAACCUGUGCCUCCUCCCUUUCUUUCCUGCCUAGAAGCUGCAAGGAACUCAAAGAAAGUUGCAAUAGAGCAGGUGGACUCACUGAGAAAAUAUACCAAAAUGCACACCUUUGUGGAAGUGUCGUUCAACUUAGCUACCUAGACUUGGCCAACAUUUCUUCUCGUGACAGGCCCAGGGAAUUCCAAUCACAGCCAACGGGGAGGCCUGUGAAUUUUGAAACUGCAGAAUUUGUUCCAAAUUGGAAAGAGAAAACCAGAGAGGCAGCAGAUAUCCACAGGGGUGUCCUUGCAUCUCUGCAGUAAGGGAUACCAUACAACUGAGGAGAAGAAAAGCAGGAACAAUAGCCAACAAUGGUGCAAAUUAAACUGGCAAUAGAACAGGAAGAAAAGACAGCCUUCAGAGUGGCUUGGACCGCAGAGUGAAUUUUCAGCUGGAAAGUUAAAGAGAUCUCCUGUGGAAUACUUCCCACCCCAGCUACGGAAAGCCAGGGAGACUCCACAGUGGCAGCAGAGCCUAGUGGAAAUUAAGAACAGGUUGUUUAAUAUAUAUAUAUAUAUAUACACAUACAUAUAUAUGUGUGUGUAUACACACACACACACACAUAUGUAUGUAAACCCCAGCACACCCAGACUGAAAGUGAAAAAGAAACAGUGUUCUAUAAAGAGUGUUCCUUACCCACUCUGGGCCCAAAUCAUGACUGUGGUCAUCAUUGGGCACCAUUGGCCCAGAUAUUUGACUGUAACAAUGACGCAUGAGUUCUUUUUGAAGACAAUAGAGGAGUUAGCUGUGAAUCAUGGAGUGCUCAUUUUGGAAUAAGAACUAGUAGAUGAUUUAUUG
rnacentral:lncRNA from 1 species